UACGGGGGGAGCAAGCGUUGUUCGGAUUUACUGGGCGUAAAGGGCGCGUAGGCGGCCAGCACAAGUCAGUUGUGAAAUCUCCGAGCUUAACUCGGAAAGGUCAACUGAUACUGUGCGGCUAGAGUGCAGAAGGGGCAACUGGAAUUCUUGGUGUAGCGGUGAAAUGCGUAGAUAUCAGGAGGAACACCGGUGGCGAAGGCGGGUCUCUGGGCCGUAACUGACGCUGAGGAGCGAAAGCAUGGGGAGCGAACAGG
rnacentral:rRNA from 1 species